AGAAUACGGUUUCUGAGAAUUUCCACUCUGAAUUCACAUUCCGUUCAGUGUUAUCGCCACCCUGUGGAUUUCUUGGCUACCUCGCUGGCUUUGAGCACAACCCAGGAAGAAGUUUGAAACCAAGAAAAUGGUGGUUGGGAAGACCAGGAUGCGCAAUGGCAAGAUAUUGGAUGGAGAAAUGGAUUCAGAUGGAGGCAUCAUUGAGCUUAUUCUUGACUCAUCUCAGUCCAAACAUUACUCUGUCAAUCGUUGUUCUUAAAAUCUGCAUAUUAAAAGCUCAGCAUCAACUA
rnacentral:lncRNA from 1 species